rnacentral:rRNA from 1 species
GGGGAAUAUUGGACAAUGGGCGCAAGCCUCAUCCAGCCAUACCGCGUGGGUGAAGAAGGCCUUCGGGUUGUAAAGCCCUUUUGUUGGGAAGGAAAAGCAGCCGGUUAAUACCCGGUUGUUCUGACGGUACCCAAAGAAUAAGCACCGGCUAACUUCGUGCCAGCAGCCGCGGUAAUACGAAGGGUGCAAGCGUUACUCGGAAUUACUGGGCGUAAAGCGUGCGUAGGUGGUUGUUUAAGUCUGUCGUGAAAGCCCUGGGCUCAACCUGGGAAUGGCGAUGGAAACUGGGCGACUAGAGUUAAGGAGAGGAAAGUGGAAUUCCUAGUGUAGCGGUGAAAUGCGUAGAUAUUAGGAGGAAUACCAGUGGCGAAGGCGACUUUCUGGACUUAUACUGACGCUGAUGCACGAAAGCGUGGGGAGCGAACA